rnacentral:rRNA from 1 species
AGAGUUUGAUCCUGGCUCAGAUUGAACGCUGGCGGCAGGCCUAACACAUGCAAGUCGAGCGGUAGCACAGAGAGCUUGCUCUCGGGUGACGAGCGGCGGACGGGUGAGUAAUGUCUGGGAAACUGCCUGAUGGAGGGGGAUAACUACUGGAAACGGUAGCUAAUACCGCAUAACGUCGCAAGACCAAAGUGGGGGACCUUCGGGCCUCAUGCCAUCAGAUGUGCCCAGAUGGGAUUAGCUAGUAGGUGGGGUAAUGGCUCACCUAGGCGACGAUCCCUAGCUGGUCUGAGAGGAUGACCAGCCACACUGGAACUGAGACACGGUCCAGACUCCUACGGGAGGCAGCAGUGGGGAAUAUUGCACAAUGGGCGCAAGCCUGAUGCAGCCAUGCCGCGUGUAUGAAGAAGGCCUUCGGGUUGUAAAGUACUUUCAGCGAGGAGGAAGGCAUUAAGGUUAAUAACCUUAGUGAUUGACGUUACUCGCAGAAGAAGCACCGGCUAACUCCGUGCCAGCAGCCGCGGUAAUACGGAGGGUGCAAGCGUUAAUCGGAAUUACUGGGCGUAAAGCGCACGCAGGCGGUCUGUUAAGUCAGAUGUGAAAUCCCCGGGCUCAACCUGGGAACUGCAUUUGAAACUGGCAGGCUUGAGUCUUGUAGAGGGGGGUAGAAUUCCAGGUGUAGCGGUGAAAUGCGUAGAGAUCUGGAGGAAUACCGGUGGCGAAGGCGGCCCCCUGGACAAAGACUGACGC